UCAGCCAUAAACCAAGACAGUAAAACCACAAACUGUCCGCCAGAGAAUUACUAGCGAAAAGCUUAAAACUCAAAGGACUUGACGGUGUCCCAAAUCAACCUAGAGGAGCCUGUCCUAUAAUCGAUAACCCACGCUUCACCCCACCUGCUCUCGCCCUCAGUCUAUAUACCGCCGUCUUCAACCUGCCUACUGAUAGACCACCCCAGCACGUAUAACUGACCCCCCUCAAGCACGUCAGGUCAAGGUGUAGCCAACGAGCAGGAAGAGAUGGGCUACAUUUUCUUCACACAAGAAAAAACCAACAGCGCUAUGAAACCCCGCCAACAAAGCAGGAUUUAGCAGUAAGCCUGAAAUAGACCAAGCCAGGCUGAAACACGCUCUGGGACG
rnacentral:rRNA from 1 species